UACGUAGGGGGCAAGCGUUGUCCGGAUUUAUUGGGCGUAAAGAGCGUGUAGGCGGCCAGGUAGGUCCGUUGUGAAAACUCGAGGCUCAACCUCGAGACGCCGAUGGAAACCAUCUGGCUAGAGUCCGGAAGAGGAGAAUGGAAUUCCUGGUGUAGCGGUGAAAUGCGCAGAUAUCAGGAAGAACACCCGUGGCUAAGGCGGUUCUCUAGUACGGUACUGACGCUGAGACGCGAAAGCGUGGGGAGCGAACAGG
rnacentral:rRNA from 1 species